rnacentral:tRNA from 1 species
GGAGGAGUGGCCGAGUGGUUGAAGGCGGCGGUCUUGAAAACCGUUGAUGUGAAAGCAUCCGUGGGUUCGAAUCCUACCUCCUCCGCCA